AUUGAACGCUGGCGGCAUGCCUUACACAUGCAAGUCGAACGGCAGCACGGGGAAGGGCAACCGGACCUGGUGGCGAGUGGCGAACGGGUGAGUAAAAUAUCGGAACGUACCCAAGAGAGGGGGAUAACGCAGCGAAAGUCGCGCUAAUACCGCAUACGAUCUACGGAAGAAAGUGGGGGACUCGCAAGGGCCUCAGGAUCGUGGAGCGGCCGAUAACGGAUUAGCUAGUUGGUGAGGUAAAGGCUCAACAAGGCAGUGAUCAGUAGCUGGUCUGAGAGGACGAACAGCCACACUGGAACUGAGACACGGUCCAGACUCCUACGGGAGGCAGCAGUGGGGAAUUUUGGACAAUGGGGGCAACCCUGAUCCAGCAAUGCCGCGUGAGGGAAGAAGGCCUUCGGGUUGUAAAGCUCUUUUGUCCGGGAAGAAACGGUAGCUCCUAAUAUGGGCUACUAAUGACGGUACUGGAAGAAUAAGCACCGGCUAACUACGUGCCAGCAGCCGCGGUAAAAC
rnacentral:rRNA from 1 species